rnacentral:rRNA from 1 species
UACGGGGGGGGUAAGCGUUGUUCGGAAUUACUGGGCGUAAAGGGCUCGUAGGCGGCCAACUAAGUCAUACGUGAAAUCCCUCAGCUUAACUGGGGAACUGCGUGUGAUACUGGAUGGCUUGGAUUUGGGAGAGGGAUGCGGAAUUCCAGGUGUAGCGGUGAAAUGCGUAGAGAUGCGGAGGAACACCGAUGGCGAAGGCAGCCCCCUGGGCUGACACUGACGCUCAGGCACGAAAGCGUGGGGAGCAAACAGG